CGAAACAGCAUUAUACCAGUGCCAAGGUGCAAAGCACAGUACUGACACUCACGCACAGCACAAGGAGCAUAUAGCACAGCUAAGAUAACAAACAAAUAUAAGAUAGCAGGCACAUAUAAAACACCGAGCAUGUAUAAAAUAUCACUAAAAUAAAGUCACACAAAAAUAUAUAGUCCAAGUCCCUGAGUCCAUGAAUGUUCUCCUAUUGAGGGAACACUGGGGGCAGCACCAACUGCGGCUUGGACGCCAUGCCACCUCGAUCCGAUGGAGAACAUCAACUCUGACAUCCUUCCCCAGGGCCACUGUAAACAGGCGGCUCUUCUGCUUGAGGCCUAGUUCUUGCUACAAUGGAGGCCUCAUAGCUGCAGCCCCGACAGCCCCUGCCGUUCACCAAUAAAUCAGCGAGUCGGAUUUGCAGCAUUCCACAUUACCAAUGCCCAGCAGGGUCUUGGAGUCACUGGAAAAGCUACUAAGAUGAUUACUUGCUACUUGACUUCACCAGCACCUUCAUGUACUGACUCCUCCGACAUCUCCCUAGUACAGGCAGCAGCACAAUCUGCAUCAAGUCCAAUUCCUUCAGUUUCUCCACCAACAGGCAACUCGCUCACGGGAUAGAGCUACAGUACUUUAAGUUUGUAAUGUUCAGCAGGGUUGUGCGAUCUUAAAAAAGUAUGAUUAAAAAGGACCCCCUAGAAGCCGCUCAAUUGAACGCACUGCUAUUUUACCAGGAAGUAAGAAAAAUCACUGGGCUAUGAUCCAGAGAACUAGACUAUUGACUUAGAGACAUUUCAGUUUAAUCUCAGGUGAGGAAUCUAAAUUCAAGAGAUUUGGCAGAUUCUGAUUUUUUUUAAAUAUGUAGACCUUUAAAAGAAAAUCUAUGUGAUCAUGAAACCAACAGACUGUGGUUUAAAAUCCUAUCUGGUUCAUGAAUUUUAUUCUGAUGCCUCCAAACCCACUAAUAUGACCUGGGAGGAUUUUGACAAUGGGCAGUAAAGGCUGGCCUUGCCAGUAAUGCCUACAUUUUGUGAAUAAAUAAAUAAAAAUGAUAAAAAAAAUUCUACCUGAUCAAAUCUUGCGAUGGCGCCCUUCCAUAAAAAUAACAUUGCCUUUUUAUUUUACUGCCUGUGUUGUUAAAGCCACUUGAUAUUUCAACUCAUUUAUUCUUGUAGACUCAGCUUAUUCCAAGGAUCUUUUUUUUCUGCCGUCACUUUAAACCCUUGCAUUUCAUCUUACCUGCAGGCUGUCAGUUAAUAGGUGCAGCAAAGCGCGCAAUCAAGUUGAUCACAGAGACUGCAUUUUGUCCAGUAGACAACUCUUCAUGAUCCUAGUCCCAAGAUCGGUCAGAGCUUUUUUUCCCCAGAGUAUCAUACUGAAGAUUGAAGAAGAAGGAGAGGAGUCUACUAUAACUGACACAGCGAGCACUAACUAUGGAGGAAUUAAUUCCAGGAAUUUGAAAAAAAAAAUCAAAGUUGGCCGUCAGCUGCUCCAGAACAGCGUCGGUGCAGGCAGCAGAGCGGGAGUAAGGAGUGUUUGUGAUCGACAGACGACUGGAGAUCAGAGGAUCAGCCGUUGUAGGUUGGCCGAGACCCUUGGACUUACUUGGAGAGUACCUGAGGAGGAAGUUGCAUCAGAGGACAAUCAGAAUGAACAUCUGGAGGACUGCAAUUUUAACCCACAUCUUAAAUGGAGCAACAUCGUUCAUCAGGAGUUUUAUGUAGUAGGUGACUCACCCUCUCACUUCCCAGUGGUUGUCUACCAUCAGUGAAGUAUGAGUCAGGUGUGUGACACUAUAUUCUCCAGUGGAGUGAACGGAUAGAACAUCUUCAAUUUCAGGGAGCGCGAUAUCAUCUAGACCGGGGGUCGGCAACCUGCGGCUCCCGAGCCAUUUGUGGCUCUUUCACCUCUGUGCUGCGGCUCCCUGUGGCUUUGGGAAAUAAUUGGUCAGUAUUUAAUUAAAAUGUAUUUUAUGUUAGUUUGUUAGCUUUUGAAAUGUAAUUAUGGUGAUCUUGUACAACCUAAGUGUAGCGACACAUUUCCUGCCACAUCAUAAAACGGCUCACAAUUAGCCAGCAUUCCGGCUAAGGGAGAUAGCCUACGGGGGUUUGUGAGUACGCGUCUUUUGCAGCAUCUGCGUCCAUGGGGGCUGGGUUGAGGGAAGCUGAAAAGCAAGGCUGUUUAGUUCGAAUAAAGCUAUCUUUGACUGCAGUUUACUGACACCGCUACAACGUGUUUUUAUCGCUGGCUGUCCAGACGGAAGGUGCUGAAACGCUUUGUCGCGUGUCUGGAAGAAGUGAAAACUUUCCUGGGCAGCAAAGG